UACGGGGGGAGCAAGCGUUGUUCGGAUUUACUGGGCGUAAAGGGCGCGUAGGCGGCCAGCACAAGUCAGUUGUGAAAUCUCCGAGCUUAACUCGGAAAGGUCAACUGAUACUGUGCGGCUAGAGUGCAGAAGGGGCAACUGGAAUUCUUGGUGUAGCGGUGAAAUGCGUAGAUAUCAAGAGGAACACCUGCGGCGAAGGCGGGUUGCUGGGCUGACACUGACGCUGAUGUGCGAAAGCCAGGGGAGCGAACGGG
rnacentral:rRNA from 1 species